rnacentral:lncRNA from 1 species
GCGGUGCUUUCACCAAGCCGGAGGUAUUCAUCAACCACAUCAGCCGCACAACCAUAUGCCAUCAUACGAAUGGCUGCUGUAGAUUUUUGUAGUGCAGAGAGACCGGAUCUUCCGGUAGCAUCUCUUCUUUGUUGAAAGAAUGGAAGAUGAGUAGAGAGGCCAUCAACAAUGAAAUAGUCGUUCCAUAAACAGAUAUGGCCUUGUUCCCAAUCUCUCUCAAUAUAAGCUCUUUUU